rnacentral:rRNA from 1 species
AGGAUUAACGCUGGCGGCGUGCCUAACACAUGCAAGUCGAACGAGGUAGCAAUACCUAGUGGCAGACGGGUGAGUAACGCGUGGUCAACCUACCGUUGAGUGGGGGAUAACUAACCGAAAGGUUAGCUAAUACCGCAUACGUCUCCGAGGGGCAUCCCUUGGCGAUAAAAGGAGCAAUCCGCUCGAUGACGGGACCGCGUCCCAUUAGCUAGAUGGUGGGGUAACGGCCUACCAUGGCACCGAUGGGUAGCUGGUUUGAGAGAGCGACCAGCCACACUGGGACUGAGAAACGGCCCAGACUCCUACGGGAGGCAGCAGUGAGGAAUUUUCCGCAAUGGGCGCAAGCCUGACGGAGCGACGCCGCGUGUGGGAAGAAGGCCUUCGGGUCGUAAACCACUGUCGAAGGGGACGAUAAUGACGGUACCCUUGGAGGAAGCCCCGGCUAACUACGCGCCAGCAGCCGC